rnacentral:rRNA from 1 species
AGAGUUUGAUCAUGGCUCAGAACGAACGCUGGCGGCAAGCCUAACACAUGCAAGUCGAGCGAGUAAGAGCCCGUAAGGGAAUUCUGCUAGCGGCAGACGGGUGCGUAACACGUGGGAAUCUCCCUAAUAGUACGGAACAGCCUCGGGAAACUGGGAUUAAUACCGUAUACGCCCUUCGGGGGAAAGAUUUAUCGCUAUUGGAUGAGCCCGCGUAAGAUUAGCUAGUUGGUGAGGUAAUGGCUCACCAAGGCUACGACCUUUAGCUGGUCUGAGAGGACGAUCAGCCACACUGGAACUGAGACACGGUCCAGACUCCUACGGGAGGCAGCAGUGGGGAAUAUUGGACAAUGGGCGCAAGCCUGAUCCAGCUAUGCCGCGUGAGUGAUGGAGACCUUCGGGUUGUAAAGCUCUUUAGUCAGGGAAAAUAAUGAUGGUACCUGAAGAAUAAGCCCCGGCAAACUCUGUGCCAGCAGCCGCGGUAAUACAGAGGGGGCUAGCGUUGUUCGGAAUUACUGGGCGUAAAGGGUGCGUAGGCUGCUUGCCAAGUCAGGUGUGAAAUCCCGGGGCUUAACUCCGGAAUUGCACUUGAAACUAGCAGGCUUGAGGACGAGAGGGGAUAGUAGAAUUCCUAGUGUAGGAGUGAAAUCCGUAGAUAUUAGGAGGAAUACCAGUGGCGAAGGCGGCUAUCUGGCUCGUUUCUGACGCUGAGGCACGAAAGCGUGGGGAUCAAACAGGAUUAGAUACCCUGGUAGUCCACGCCGUAAACGAUGGAUGCUAGACGUCGGGUCUUUAUGGCUCGGUGUUGUAGCUAACGCGUUAAGCAUCCCGCCUGGGGAGUACGGUCGCAAGAUUAAAACUCAAAGGAAUUGACGGGGACCCGCACAAGCGGUGGAGCAUGUGGUUUAAUUCGAUGCAACGCGAAGAACCUUACCAGGACUUGACAUGUAUUUGAACCUUUUGAGAGAUCAAUUGGGUGUAGCAAUACACAGAUACACAGGUGUUGCAUGGCUGUCGUCAGCUCGUGUCGUGAGAUGUUGGGUUAAGUCCCGCAACGAGCGCAACCCUCAUUCUUAGUUACCAGCACGUUAUGGUGGGGACUCUAAGGAAACUGCCUGCGUUAAGCAGGAGGAAGGUGGGGAUGACGUCAAGUCAUCAUGGCCCUUACGUCCUGGGCUACACACGUGCUACAAUGGUGGUGACAGUGGGGAGCGAAAGCGCAAGCUGGAGCAAAUCCUAUAAAAGCCAUCUCAGUUCAGAUUGUCCUCUGCAACUCGAGGGCAUGAAGUCGGAAUCGCUAGUAAUCGCGGAUCAGCACGCCGCGGUGAAUACGUUCCCGGGUCUUGUACACACUGCCCGUCACGCCAUGGAAGUUGGUUCUACCUUAAGUCGCCCUUAAAAGCGCCCACGGUAUGAUCAAUGACUGGGGUGAAGUCGUAACAAGGUA